rnacentral:rRNA from 1 species
UAGCUUUUUUGUUAUAGGCAGUUAUUAGUGGCAGACGGGUGAGUAAUGCAUAGGAAUCUACCUAGUAGUAUGGAAUAGCCAUUAGAAAUGAUGGGUAAUACUGUAUAAUCCCUGCGGGGGAAAGAUUUAUCGCUAUUAGAUGAGCCUAUGUUAGAUUAGUUAGUUGGUAAGGUAAUGGCUUACCAAGACUAUGAUCUAUAGCUGGUCUGAGAGGACGAUCAGCCACACUGGAACUGAGAUACGGUCCAGACUCCUACGGGAGGCAGCAGUGGGGAAUAUUGGACAAUGGGCGAAAGCCUGAUCCAGCUAUGCCGCGUGAGUGAAGAAGGCCUUCGGGUUGUAAAGCUCUUUCAAUAGGGAAGAUAAUGACGGUACCUAUAGAAGAAGUCCCGGCAAACUCUGUGCCAGCAGCCGCGGUAAUACGGAGGGGGCAAGCGUUGUUCGGAAUUAUUGGGCGUAAAGGGCACGUAGGUGGACUAGUAAGUUAAAAGUGAAAUACCAGAG